rnacentral:snoRNA from 1 species
UGGUUCAUUGAUGAUUUGUAUUAGAUUGACCUGGGCUCCUUCUGGAAAAUGCAGAUUCUUGACUCCUAAAAUCUACUGCGUCAG